UACGUAGGGGGCUAGCGUUGUCCGGAAUUAUUGGGCGUAAAGAGCGUGUAGGCGGCCAGGUAGGUCAGCUGUGAAAACUCGAGGCUCAACCUCGAGACGCCGGUUGAAACCAUCUGGCUAGAGUCCGGAAGAGGAGAGUGGAAUUCCUGGUGUAGCGGUGAAAUGCGCAGAUAUCAGGAAGAACACCCGUGGCUAAGGCGGCUCUCUAGUACGGUACUGACGCUGAGACGCGAAAGCGUGGGGAGCGAACAGG
rnacentral:rRNA from 1 species